rnacentral:rRNA from 1 species
AGUCACUGACAUUAGAUACCCCUGUAGUCCCAGCCGUAAACUAUGCUCGCUAGGUGUCAGGCAUGGCGCGACCGUGUCUGGUGCCGAAGGGAAACCGUGAAACGUGCCGCCUGGGAAGUACGGUCGACAAAGGCUGAAACCUAAAGGAAUUCGGCGGGGAGCACAACAACGGUGGAGCCUGCGGUUUAAUUGGACUCAACGCCGGACAACUCACCGGGAACGACAGCAAUAUGUAGGCCAGGCUGAAGACCUUGCCUGAAUCGCUG